rnacentral:rRNA from 1 species
UACGUAGGGUGCAAGCGUUAAUCGGAAUUACUGGGCGUAAAGCGUGCGCAGGCGGUUAUGCAAGACAGAGGUGAAAUCCCCGGGCUCAACCUGGGAACUGCCUUUGUGACUGCGUGGCUAGAGUACGGUAGAGGGGGAUGGAAUUCCGCGUGUAGCAGUGAAAUGCGUAGAUAUGCGGAGGAACACCGAUGGCGAAGGCAAUCCCCUGGACCUGUACUGACGCUGAGGCGCGAAAGCGUGGGGAGCAAACAGG